rnacentral:rRNA from 1 species
AUAGUUCAGGGGCAGGCGGAAUUCCUGGUGUAGCGGUGGAAUGCGUAGAGAUCAGGAAGAACACCGAUGGCGAAGGCAGCCUGCUGGGGACUUAUCGACGCUGAGGCUCGAAAGUGCGGGUAGCAAACAGGAUUAGAUACCCUGGUAGUCCGCACCGUAAACAAUGCAUACUGGGUGUCCGGGGGUUCCCCCGGGUACCGUA